rnacentral:lncRNA from 1 species
CAAAACUGGAUUUUUUAGAAACUCUAAAUAACAAUUGAUGAUAUAUGUAAUAUGCCUUUAAAUUUAAUGAGAAUCUUUUUAAUUAGAAUUUUAAUUAAACUUGGCAAAAAGAGAUGCUCGUAAUGGUUUGUCGAAAAUAAGCAAAUGUUUUGAAAAUAAGUUUUAGAGAGCCCACUUGAUUCUUUUGGGUCAUUUCGGUGGCUGAUGCGACCUUCA